GAUGCUUUUGGUGUUUUUAACUCCCAACCCCUGUGACAUACCUUAAUGUUGCCUCGGCGGAUCAGCCCGCGCCCGGUAAAACGGGACGGCCCGCCAGAGGAUCCAAACUCUUGCUGUUAUUGUAACUUCUGAGUAAAACAAACAAAUAAAUCAAAACUUUCAACAACGGAUCUCUUGGUUCUGGCAUCGAUGAAGAACGCAGCAAAAUGCGAUAAGUAAUGUGAAUUGCAGAAUUCAGUGAAUCAUCGAAUCUUUGAACGCACAUUGCGCCCGCCAGUAUUCUGGCGGGCAUGCCUGUUCGAGCGUCAUUUCAACCCUCAAGCCCCCGGGUUUGGUGUUGGGGAUCGGCAAGCCUUCUGGCGAGCCGCCCCCUAAAUCUAGUGGCGGUCUCACUGCAGCCUCCAUUGCGUAGUAGCUAACACCUCGCAACUGGAACGCGGUGCGGCCAUGCCGUUAAACCCCCAACUUCUGAAUGUUGACCUCGGAUCAGGUAGGAAUACCCGCUGAACUUAAGCAUAUCAAUAAGCGGAGGAA
rnacentral:rRNA from 1 species